CCGUCUAUUGGCGGGCCGGGCCGGGCACGGCACGCCACGGGCCGUGCCAGGCACGGCCCGUAACGGGUGCAAACGGGCCGUGCCUGGCACCGCCCGCAACGGUGAGGGGUGAGGAAAAUAGCCGUUUCCAACGGCUAUUUUGGGAAAAAGUCGGUUUUACCCCUCCCAACAGUCCAAUAACGGCUGAAUUGAGGGGUAUUUUGGAAAAAAAAAUUGGGCUUCUAUAAAUAGCCAUUUCCUCCCUCAUUCUCACCACACCAAACCAACUAUUCUCUCCUUCUCUAAUACUAUUAUUUCUCUCUUCUAAAGUGCUCUUCUAGCAAUUUAAUUUUUAGUUUGCAUUUAGCAAGUGUUCAAGUGCUACACAAGAGGAGGUUCCUGUUGAGAAGAGAAGGUCACUCCUGUUGAGAGCACAAGAGAAAGCUCAGAAUCUCGGCUCUGCGGCUCUGCUUCUGCCCUCCGACCCUCUACUUAAUUCCUCCAAUCCUCCUUGUGGUUAGUUUUUAUUUUUUUAAUUCAUCAAUUUAGAUAUGUCAUCUUUUGAGGAAAGUCAGUUUGGCAUUCCUCCUAUUUCUGAGGGAGAAGAAACUAAUCCCCAACCCCAUGUUCCUAGUUCCUCUAGAACUAGUGAACCGAGUGAAAAUCAAACCUCUUCUCGUAAGAGGACUAGUGCUGUAUGGACUGAAUUUGAUAGAGUUAUGGUUGAUGGAGUCUGGAAAGCUAAAUGUAAAAAAUGUGCCAAACUUUAUAGUUG
rnacentral:lncRNA from 1 species